AUUCCAGCUCCAAUAGCGUAUAUUAAAGUUGUUGCGGUUAAAAAGCUCGUAGUUGGAUUUCUGUUGAGGACGGCCGGUCCGCACUAUGUGCGUGUAUCUGGUUCGGCCUUGGCAUCCUCUUGAGGAACGUAUCUGCGCUUGAUUGCGUGGAGCGGUAUUCAAGACUUUUACUUUGAGGAAAUUAGAGUGUUCACGGCAGGCAAGCGCCUUGAAUACGUUAGCAUGGAAUGAUAAUAUAGGAUCUUGGUUCUAUUUUGUUGGUUUCUAGAGCUAAGGUAAUGAUUAAUAGGGAUAAUUGGGGGCAUUUGUAUUAACGCGUCAGAGGUGGAAUUCUUGGAUUGCGUUACGACAAACUACUGCGAAAGCAUUUGCCAAGGAUGUUUUCAUCG
rnacentral:rRNA from 1 species